AUUCUGGUUGAUCCUGCCAGUAGUUAUAUGCUUGUCUCAAAGAUUAAGCCAUGCAUGUCUAAGUACACACGAAUUAAAAGUGAAACCGCAAAAGGCUCAUUAUAUCAGUUAUGGUUCCUUAGAUCGUUAACAGUUACUUGGAUAACUGUGGUAAUUCUAGAGCUAAUACAUGCAAUUAAAACAUGAACCUUAUGGGACAUGUGCUUUUAUUAGGCUAAAACCAAGCGAUCGCAAGAUCGUUAUAUUGGUUGAACUCUAGAUAACAUGCAGAUCGUAUGGUCUUGUACCGACGACAGAUCUUUCAAAUGUCUGCCCUAUCAACUUUUGAUGGUAGUAUCUAGGACUACCAUGGUUGCAACGGGUAACGGGGAAUCAGGGUUCGAUUCCGGAGAGGGAGCCUGAGAAACGGCUACCACAUCUAAGGAAGGCAGCAGGCGCGUAAAUUACCCACUCCCAGCUCGGGGAGGUAGUGACGAAAAAUAACAAUACAGGACUCAUAUCCGAGGCCCUGUAAUUGGAAUGAGUACACUUUAAAUCCUUUAACAAGGACCAAUUGGAGGGCAAGUCUGGUGCCAGCAGCCGCGGUAAUUCCAGCUCCAAUAGCGUAUAUUAAAGUUGUUGCGGUUAAAACGUUCGUAGUUGAACUUGUGCUUCAUACGGGUAGUACAACUUACAAUUGUGGUUAGUACUAUACCUUUAUGUAUGUAAGCGUAUUACCGGUGGAGUUCUUAUAUGUGAUUAAAUACUUGUAUUUUUUCAUAUGUUCCUCCUAUUUAAAAACCUGCACUAGUGCUCUUAAACGAGUGUUAUUGUGGGCCGGUACUAUUACUUUGAACAAAUUAGAGUGCUUAAAGCAGGCUUCAAAUGCCUGAAUAUUCUGUGCAUGGGAUAAUGAAAUAAGACCUCUGUUCUGCUUUCAUUGGUUUUCAGAUCAAGAGGUAAUGAUUAAUAGAAGCAGUUUGGGGGCAUUAGUAUUACGACGCGAGAGGUGAAAUUGAA
rnacentral:ncRNA from 1 species